GGUUUGAUGGUCUAGUAGUAUGAUUCACCCUUAGGGAUGUGGUUACCUUGGUAAAAUGCAUGGAUCUGGGUGAGGUCCCGGGUUCAAUUCCCGGUCAGACCC